rnacentral:lncRNA from 1 species
UUAGCUCACAAUUAUACAGCAAAGUCUCCUGGGAGGGUUUAUAUGUUAAGCUCUGUCAGUAAUUUCUCCCCUAGCAAGAAUGAGGAAGAUGAAGAGCUCGGGUAUCUGAGGGCUGGUGUGUCUGCAUGCGUGUGUGUUUUGGGGGCCGACUGAAGGAAGAGAAGGCUGGAGAGAGGGAACAUGGGUCUGAGGGCACAUCGCUAAGGGGUCAAGAGGCCUAAAGGAGGAGUCUAAGGCUCUCCAUCGAACUUGGACUUGGUCUACAUUAGACUUUAACCUCCAUGAGGCUUGGACUUUCAGGCUUCCUCCCUCACACCGCGGGCAGGUGAGGCGUCUGCUACAGGCCUGGUCUCGCAGAGGGGGCCCAGCGCCCCCCGCCGCCGCCUUCUCCUGGAGUCUGUGUGACAGAAUGGGACCUGUGGGAAAGCAGCACGUCAGCACCCAGCCCCGCUUGCGCGCCAGCAGCUAAUUAAAGCCAGGAAGGUGAUGGCGAUUUUCAACUCAUUCCCGUUACAAACAGCCGACCUUCCUACCGAGUUCAAGUACCUUCUGCCUGGCCUGGAAGAACAAUAUCUCUCUGUCUCCCUCUUCCACUGGCCCUCACCUGCCUUCCCCUGAACAUGCAUUUUGCCUGACAGGAGACAGAGGCAGUUGAUGCUUGCAGCUUGGUCCAGGAGGCCAGCAGGACCAGAGAGAAGACCACAGCGACACAUGGGGAUGGCUGUCCCACAGGCAGAAAUGAGCAGCCGGGAGGAAGCCCAGGCAGCCAGCCACCCAGCUCCCUCCACAUCGUGGCCCUAGAACGGAGUCUUGAAGAAUAAGAAGCCACAGCUUGUCAGGGAAUCAGGCUGGAAAAAUGUUAUGAGACUGAGUAAGACCAGAGUUUCUGGGUCAUUGGUGAGACUGGAUUUCAUAGAAGAGUCUUUGCUACAGCAAAACCUCUCUUCAAGCAAUACACUAUUCAAGCUGCUGGAGGCUAGAUUGACCAGAAAAAUGGGGCCAAUAUCAUGAUUCCUCAGCAGUGCCUGGAGAAGACCAGGAGAGGAAGCAGAAGACCCUCCUCAAAGAAGCAGCCUUCACCUCCAGACCUCCCAGCGGGACUUAGACAAUGGGGUUAGGCAGUCACAUGUCUGCACGUGGAAACUUUCUGGGACUGUGCUUGGAUCCUGGCUCUGCCUUUUACUAGCCAUGUGACCUUGGGAAAAUCACUUGACUUCUCCGUGCAGGAUUCCUCAUCUGUAAAAAUGGUCUAAGAUUAGGAGCCACCUCAAGGUUGUUGUAGGAAUUAAAUUAAUUCAUGUUUAUAAAGUGCUUUGAACAGCGUUUGGCACAUGGAGAAUUAAAUGAGCAAACGGAAGAGCAGCAACCCUGAGUUACAUUUCUCAAGACACCGGGGCUCUUGAUGGCACAGCAGCAGCUUGCUAGAGCUUGGUAAAGAGACUUGGGCCUGGUACCUGAAGGGCAAUUCCUUGGCCAUGACAUUGUAGGGAAAGACCUCUAUGGGUGUUGAAAAGACAAGGCGAGGACAAGAAGAGUUGAAAAGGAGCUGUUCUGAAGCCACCUGGCUGUGGAUGGAGGAAGCCACAUGUAGCUUAGGUAGCCUGCUAUUGUAAUUUUUUCUGCAACUGAAGAAUUCGAAAUGGGUUUGGUGGGUAGCGAAGGGCAGAAUCUGGCUUCAAGGUGACAGAGUUUGCAUAGAGAUGGCCUUCUUGAGCAAAGGUAGUGACUCCUACAUUUUUUUUUUUUGUAGAGUUGUGAUACCCAUGAGUUAGUCAGCUUGGGCUAUCAUAACAAAAUACCACACAUUGGUUGGCUUAAACAACAGAAAUUCAUUUUCCUGUAAUUCUGGAGGCUGGAAGUCCAAGAUCAAGGUGACGACAGAGUUGGGUUUCCUCUGAAGCCUCUCUCCUUGGUUUUCAGAUGGGUGUCCUCUUGCUGUCUCUUCAUGUGACUGUCCCUCUGCAUGUGUGCCCCUGGGGACUCUUUCUUAUCUUAUAGUGACACUAGUUCUAUUGGAUUGAAGUGUACCCAUACGACCUCAUUUAAACUUAAUUACAUAUUGUAAGGCCCUAACUUCAAAUACAGUCACAUCCUGAGGUACUGUGUAUUAGGGCUUCAACAUAUAAAUUUUGGGGCAAUCCAGUUCAGCCCAUAAAAUCCCUUUUUGGUUGCUUGAUUCUGUUUAUUUGGUGUCAUGCCUUCCUUUUCCUAAAGAACUUCAUGAAUAGAAUUACUUUCUAAGUGAAAGGAACAAAACUGAUUUUUAUUAAAAAUUAUUUUGAGAUGCUUGUGACAAAUUUUGAAGUAAGUGAAGAUUUUCCUGGAGCUUCUACAAAAUCCUGGCUGAGAAUCCCUGCUUUCUGGACAGUUGAGAAGGAAAUACACUUAGUACAGCUGUUAGAGAGAUAUAGUUGCAACCACUGAGUGCUUAUUAUCUGCCAACUUAAAUAUAUUGCCCAAGGGAAUAACAAAUAUUCUAGUGUUCUUGUUAAGUAUAUUGUCUAAGGUCACACAGCUCUUAAACAACAGCUUCAGGAUUUGAACCUGGAAUCUAUCUGACUCCUAAGUCCAGAUGCUGUUCACCACAUUAGGUUGAAGCAUGGCCAGUGUUCAUAACAUACAACUAUGUCUCCAUAUCUUUUGCUAACCAAUGUUCUUGUAUGUGCAUACCUUACAGGGCAGCCAUUCACCACAAGCCCUACUAGAUGGCUUCCUGUAAUAAGGGUAGAACAGUAGUACUCUCCUUUUGAGAAGUUAUUUGUAAUUUUGUUGGUGGGCUGACAUUUAGGCCCUGCUCUCCAGCCCCAGAGGGGAUCCCAUAACCUAGAUCAGGCCAAUGAUGAUUAUCUCCGUGACUGUAGUGGCUGGUCCAGCGGGGAGGGUCAGGCAGGUAAGCUGGCCCAACCUGAGUCCUUCUUGAGGAUUUUAGAAACUGAAGGUAGGAGAGAAAAAUUCUCUCUUUUCUUCUGGGGAACGGGAUGAAGGUGGUGGGUAGGCAGAGCUGUUGGGAUGUGGAUCCAGGGAUUCUGGAAGUCCUGUCCUCCACCAUGUAAAGAAUACAUCCUGCAGAAGGAGAGAAGGGAGCCAGCACACAGAGAAGCAGAGUCAGGAGAUGGAGAAGGAGAAUCCUGAGAGCCUGAAGGUCCCUGGGUCCAGCCAUUGUCAAGGCCGAGUUCUACCGUCCUUAAGUUGUUUACCUUUCUUUCUUGCUUGCUUCUGUUAGAAGAUGAACACUCAAUGAAAAAUCACCAAACAUCUGAGGAAAGCCAUCAAAAUGAAAUAAACGAAACACACAAGUUCCUAAACACAAGUGAACAGCGUGGGCUGGGUUUUUGUCGCUUGGAACUGGAAACGCUGACGAUAAUGCUGACCUCUGAGCAGACCCACGUGAGGGGCAGCUGUGGUGUGGUGUGAUGAUGCUGGGAUAGGCACUCAGAUGGUUGAGUCUGAGUUUGGCUCUGAUAUUAUAUCAACUGCAUGGGCAGCUGUGGUGUGGUGUGAUGAUGCUGGGAUAGGCACUCAGAUGGUUGAGUCUGAGUUUGGCUCUGAUAUUAUAUCAACUGCAUGGGCAGCUGUGGUGUGGUGUGAUGAUGCUGGGAUAGGCACUCAGAUGGUUGAGUCUGAGUUUGGCUCUGAUAUUAUAUCAACUGCAUGGGCAGCUGUGGUGUGGUGUGAUGAUGCUGGGAUAGGCACUCAGAUGGUUGAGUCUGAGUUUGGCUCUGAUAUUAUAUCAACCGCAUCAUUUUGGGGAAGACACAAUUUCUCAGAAUUUUAUUUAGUUGUAAAAUAAAGAUAAUGAUAUUACAUGCUCUGUCUACCAUCUAGAGUUUUUGUCAAGACAAAC